UAACAGUCGAAAAACCGGAUCCCAAUACGUCUCCUGUAUUUGUGACCGCAUUACAUAAAGCCGUUGAUGCCGCUACUCCUGAAAACCUCAAGAAUGACAUGAACGAGGUUAUAGAUAGAAGUGCUAAAUAUUUGUCAUCAUUUAUAAGGGACAGAGGCAAAUCACUAGAAUUGUUAUUAAAGAUGAUGAAAGCCAAGGGGAGCAAAGAACUGGCAAAAAGGAGUGACUACGCGAUGACCUACGGUGUUGCAGCAAUCGAAACUGAAACGGCUCCUACUAUAGUGCCGUUUUUACCUGUAAAAGACAUUGCUGAUGAGGUGAAGG